rnacentral:lncRNA from 1 species
CAUUGCCCCAGGGCCGGGCACAGGUGCAACGCGGCUUGAUCACCAGGGCUCUGGCCUCUGCUGACCGCGGGCCUGAACGCAGGACCCCACUGGUCCUCUGCUGCCACCUUGUGGCCACUUCCCAGAUGGCAGGUAGGAGCCUGAGAUCUUUCUCUGGUUCCAGUUCCGGGAAACUCUUGGGCCCCCUGGAGCCUUGCCCACCCCCGGAGUGCUUCGUGUGGCCAAAUACUGUGGGCGAUUAUCGGGGCCUGGAACCAGCUUCAUCAGGAGCACCUGCAUGGAUCCACAGGGUGUGGGAGCUAAUAGAGACUGUGAAGAGGGGGCCCCACUUGCAGAGGAGAAGACAGAGUCUCA